rnacentral:rRNA from 1 species
AACGAACGUUGGCGGCGUGGAUUAGGCAUGCAAGUCGAACGAAUCCCUGGGGCUUGCUCCAGGGGGAAGUGGCGAAAGGGGCAGUAAGGCGUGGGUAACCUACCCCGGGGACGGGCAUAGCCGUCCUAACGGACGGGUAAUUCCUGGCGAUGUGGUCGAGAGGCAUCUCUUGACCAUGAAAUGAAUCUCGCCUCGGGAGGGGCUCACGUGAUAUCAGCUAGUUGGCGGGGUAAUGGCCCACCAAGGCAACGACGUCUAGCCGGUGUGAGAGCACGACCGGCGCCACUGGCACUGAGACACUGGCCAGACUCCUACGGGAGGCUGCAGUCGAGGAUCUUCGGCAAUGGGCGCAAGCCUGACCGAGCGACGCCGCGUGUGCGAUGAAGGCCUUCGGGUUGUAAAGCACUGUCGAGGGGGAGAAAAGCCCGCAAGGGUCUGAUCUAUCCCUGGAGGAAGCACGGGCUAAGUUCGUGCCAGCAGCCGCAGU